rnacentral:lncRNA from 1 species
GAAUGCAGGUGGGUUUUCUAAUUUUUGGGGAGAUGAUGAGGAAAUGGUGGAAUAUUGAUGGAGAAGAGGAGGAGCUGUAACAACGAUGAAGGGGAGGACAGUGGAGUGGGUUUCGGAGGAUAAGCCAACGGAGAGAGGAGACGGGUCUAUGAGAAAUCGAUGGAGAUGAAAAUGAUGGGAGAAGGAGCAGGGUGUGGUGAAGAAGAAGAUGGGAGACCUGGAUGUUGAACUUGAAGAAAGCGGUUAAGGGAGAGGCGAGAUUCUGUGGGGUUGUGGCUCUGGUGAUUGAAGGGGCAGAGGUCGAGGGAGGAGGUGGUUUUCGAUGGGUCUUGGUGGAGGAAGGGAUUAAAGAAACGGUAGGCUUAUCUGCGUUUUGAGGAAGAAGAGGAAAGUAAUCUUGCAGUUAAAUUGCAUAGAAAAUUACCAAGACGGCAACGGGCGACGGCAGCGGCAACGGGCGACGGCAAAGCGGCGACAGGCGAUGGC